UAAUGAUUCUCAAAUUAUUGUUGCUUCUGAUUUCAUCAAUCUGUUCUUGUUAUCAUGCUCAAUGUUUCUCUUGUGGUGCGCUACAUUCCUGGUUUAGCAGUUUAGAAUGUUAUUGAUUCCUCUUGCUAAACUGGUGGCAAGGAUGUCAGAAACUUAACAUCCUUCUCUCUGUUGCUCAUGUUUGGGUCUGCAGCAGAUAGAACUGCCAUCCUAAUGCAGCACUGGAUUCAGAUUUUAGUCCAGGGCACUUGGAUAUGAUUGAAUUUAGAAUUAUGUAGGAUGAGAAUAAUAGUCUUGUGGGAGGCUCCUAUGUCCAGGCUCCUGGGUUAUCCAAGACAAUCAACAUAAGAUGGGGUUAGUGAUGAACCUUAUAUGCUGUCUGGGUUAUACCUUGUGGGAGGCUCAUAAUAUAUAUAAGAGCUUUCGAAUGCAAGGCUUCAAGGCUUCAAGCAAUUGUUCAACAUGCCAUGUCUUUUCUAGUUAACUUUCUCUUGGGUUGCCUCAAUGCCUGGAGUCUUUAAGAUCAAUUUGGGUGCUUCAGUCAUGGGUACAGGAAGAGCUGGGUUGGGACUUGUCACUCCCAAGUACAAUUCCUUUUGAAGUGCUAUCAGCUAGUCUAUCCAAUUCACGUUCUCAAGAAUGUGCUGCUAGGUUUGGCUCCAAUGGAUUCAUGAGCACUAACGACUAUAAAUGUGGAUAGAGGUCUUUCUCGGCCUACAGAUUCUCUAAAAACCAGCAAUAAUGGCUGUUUGUACUCUUAUCCACCAUAAUGUCUGGUGUGCAAAUGCCCAUAGAAGCACUAUUCGGGGAUCCACUUAAGUCAAUGGCAUCUAACAUGGGACUUGUUUGAAGCUGCAACUGGUCUGGAAGCUAAUGCAUGGUUCAUUCUUCUGAACCUUACGUGCAUGUUUAGGG
rnacentral:lncRNA from 1 species